GUAUACAGUUGAACCGAAUCCCUUGGUAACAAAUACAAACAUACACUUGGUUCUUUAUUUUAAAUCUUCUCUUUCCUUUGUGAUAGUUUUAGAACAGAACUGGGUUGCAACACUUGUGACUAAGCAGGGCCCCCAUCCGGAGACCGAUGAGCCGUCAGGCCGCAUGGGCCUCCUGCGGGACAAAUGGCCACUGCCCUCCGCGCGCGAGCGCCAGUCCCCGCCCAGGAGCUCCCGCCGCUGGCGCUGGACGCACGCGGAGACCCCGGGGCCGUGCUCCCGGCCUUGUGGUACUCAGAGCGGCUCCGGCGACCACGCCGGGUCAGGUCCCCUCAGGAGGCCAGGCGCGAGCCGCCCCGCAGGACCGCGCGCGGCUGUGGGGCGGGGCGGGGGGGCUGCCGGCCCCUCCCGGCUCGCCCGGUGCUGCGCGGGACUCGACCGCGGGUGCCGCCCGGCCCUGGCAUCCCCUCGCACUCCCUCCGCGCGCCCAGGCGUGUGUCCUCCGCGGCCUGUUGCAUUCUCCGCACAAGCCUCCCGCGACGGGAUUAGCCACAUUUUACCAACGAAGGCCUCCACCCUCCCGGAAGACAGCAACUGGCCCAAGGUGACACGGCUGGUAAGGAAGAGCGCAGGGAUUUGAAUCCAGGACUUUUUUUUUUUUUUUUUUCCCCUCUUCUUCGCGUCUACCCUGGCUGCUAGGGUGCUGGGGAACCUGCCCCAGUGCGACCUGUGCGGUGGCUCCGUCCCGGUUGUGCCUCCAGGGGACCGGCCGCCGUGAUGCAGACGCCUCGGAAAUGAAGACAUCUCCAACUGGUCCGUGGGGGUUGGGGCCGGACUGGCUCCUGUUCCUAUAGGAAGGUCCAGCACUCACUUCAGCUGAAGGGGGAAGGAAUCCACCGGGGAAAUGCCAUUCUCCGGGUCCUUGAACCUGAGAAACUGGUUAUGACAGGUGCUAAACCCUGAAGAAUAUGUUUCUUGGCAGCGUCCUCACUGGACUUGUGCUGAGGUACCCGGUGAUCCUCUGAGGUGGCGGGGAGGAGGUGAGGGACAGCCAAGUGGUGAUAACAAGGAAACCUGCCCCUUCUGGAACACUUAGUAGGUGCUAGGCACUCUGAGGAGCUCUUUAUAAGAUUUCACCCUCACAAACCCAGGGGGCAGUAUGAUUAUUCUGCUUUAACCCAUGAGCGAUCCAAACCUUUCAGAGGUAGUCUGUCCUGUCCAAGAUCCUGCAGUGGCAGAGCCGGGUUCUGCCUGGGGCUGCCAACUCCAGAGCCUGGGACUUCCGCAUAGAGGGGGGGUGGGGACCACUCAUCGGAGACAAGCAAAUAAGAGCGCACAGGGAAACCACAUUAUUCCUCAGACUCUCGGGCCAACUUGAACCAGCUUUAGGAUAUGGAGGGGGCAGGUGGGAGUGGGAACAUCCCUGCUUUUUGUCCAAAUCCAAAGAGGGGAUCCAAGGUUUCAGUCAGGAAGCCUCUUUUUUUAAUCAAUUGUUUUUUUGUUUUCAGAACUAAGGUGGAAAUGACCCAGUGAGGAAGGAAAAUGAGUACAGCCUGCCCUGGUCAUACAAUUAAAAUAUAUAUGCCGGCCAAAGGUCAUUUUCAUAGUUGGGUGAGGAGACGCUUCAGACGUGAGAUGAGCCACAGCUGGUAGCUGGUUCUUUCCUGGGAUGCGCAUUUAGAUCCCCAUCUUGCUGAUCCCAAAGACUCUACCUGUACCCAGGAUCCAAAAGUUUAAAUGUAGGUCAUUCAACCAAGUGGAGAGAACCACAGCGUCCCUUUGUAAUGGUGGGUAAGCACAUCUUGUUUCUAUAACUUUUGGGUUGAUUUGCUGAUCUAAUCAUGCUGUUCCUUGGGCCAAGUCUAACCCUGUAUCGUAAUGCUCCAGACAAAAGAAAGGGCUGUUUCCUGGAGGCCUGUGGCUUCUUUGGUCUGUGGAAGGUCUGCUGAAGUAGACCCUAAGCAAGAGAGAAGGAAAGGGAAGUACUAGGGUGAAGAGGAAGGGCAAGCUGCUCCCAGAGGUGAACCCAGAAAUGCAUGUCAGUACAAGAGGCUGAACUUUGACCUAGGACUUUGAAGACAGAGAGAGAAAGGGGAUCCCAAAGGAAUGGAGGCUUAUUUUGCAGAUGAAAGCUUAUUUGGGCCAUGUUCACAAAGUGCUCUGCAAUCCCUCACCAGUGUAAAAUCUCACUGAUACACAUGCCACUAAUCCAGCUUUCUCAGCUCUCUGGAAUUUGUGGCCCUUUGGGCAAGGCCAGUGCUACAUUUUAUGUGUGUGCUACCUUUAAAAUAAGGUGGGGCUAAACAAAUGGAAAGGGCAGGCUGUGAUUAAAGUCACCAGGGAAACCCCUGACUCUUAAAGUGCUUUGUAAUCAGACAUGACCACACUUAGCUCAUUGAGUGCCACAUUCUGGCAGGACUGACUCUCUGGCUCAACCUUCUCAUGGUUCCUGCUUGCUUCCUUUCCCCAUUCCUGAGAUCUAAAUCUACGACACUGACCUUGUUUCUCCUCUCUUCUUUCCUUUUUAUCCAAGUAAUUCUUUCAUCAUUUGUUUAGAUAUUUGAUCACCUUCCGUGUCAGAUUUGUUCUAGAUGCUGGAGUUACAACCAGUGAAUAAGGAGUCUCUGCUCUUACAGAGCUCAGUCUAAAGAGGAGCAUCGACCACGAAGUGUGGCAGGCGUCACGUGAAGGGAAGCCCACUUCAAGCAUUUAGCAGUCGCUGAAUCAGGAGGCAGCUAAGACUCAAAGAGAGGCUCUCACAUAUUGCUGAUGACAAGAUUGGAACUAGAGAGACCAUUCAGGAAUCGAAGCCUGGCCUCCUGCCACCACUUCCUUCCUGAGGCUAUCUAGAGCCCCACAGUCAAUCUUCUUUGGUCUUUUCCUCCGGUUGCAGAAUUCAUAACUUACCCUUCUCCCAAGAUGAAGCUAUUCCCACCUCAGUAAAACUCACAUUUGUCACUAAAGCCAGAUAUGUGCCCUACCUCCAAGAACUGAUGUGCUGAUGAACUGAGCUGAUAGAUGUAAAAGUGCUUUGAGACAUGUACUGCAAUACAAUUCUAAGUGCUAAAGCUACCGUCAAAGUAACAUUUAGUUCCAUCGACAAAUCAGCCAAGGGAUUAACCACUAGUGAACAUCAGGUUCUGUGGGGGUGAAGCUAUCUUCAUGGAUAUAGUAUGGCUCCAUCCCUAAAGGUACAAAGUUAAAGAGAAAACACAGUAGCCAUUUAUGGAGUGCUUGUCAUGUGGUUUUCCUUACAGUAUCUCAAACAAUCCUCACAGUCAUCUAGGAUAUAGGCAUCAUUUUCCUCCUGGAUGGAACACCCUCCCCCAAUCCCUGUCUGUUCAAGCACAAUAUAGCAUAGUAGCUAAAAACCCUGGAUCAGGAUUCAAACUACUUGAAUUCAUAUCCAGGCACUGCCAAUUACUUUCUGUAUGACUGGGAACAUUACUCAAAUUCUCUAUGCUUCAGUUGUAAAACUGAGAUGCUAUGAAUAGUACCUAUUUUAUGCUUUCUUGUAAGGAUAAUGUGACCAUAUAUGUUAAGUACUUGCCACAGUGCUUGGUCCAAAAUAAGCAUGAGAUAAAAGUUAGGCAUUAUUAUUAUUAUCCAGCUCCAACACCUUUUUAUCUGCAAAGUCUUCCCAUAUCCCCCAUUAGAAUUGGUCUCUUUUACCCCUAUAUCCUCACAUCACUGUGGGCAUUGCCUCUCAGCAUAUUUUUAUGUGUACCUGGUUAUUAGUGUCUGAUACAGAAAAACCAAUAAAAAUGUUGAUGGUUGGAUGAACAGA